CGAGGUAUGCUGCCACCACAUACUCUUUCCUGUGAAAGCCGUCCAAAAUAUAAUUUGUGACCCGAUGUAGUUGCUCAGGGAAUUACAGAAGCUCUGCUGGAUUGUGUACGACAGCCACGCAAAGUGCAACAGCGACCUAAGGUGACGACGAACAUAAUAAAUGUUUAAGUUAUUUGUGGUAUCAUUUAAUGGAUGCGUCUGGGCGUCCAGCAAAAUAAAUUUCACAUUGGCGUCCAGACGAAUUAAUGCGAAAAUUGUGGCCAUGGUUCUGUUUAAAUGCGGCAAAUGAAUAAACAGAUCGCUUUCCUACUAGCAAGCAUCAUUGCAGAGAUAACAAGUAGCGUACUUACGAAAGGGAUAUGCGCCUUAAAACGUUAACCUAUUCGGACAAUUCUAAAUUCUUCAAUAGGAUACAAAAGGGGAAAACCGCACUUUUGUGUUGUUAACACCCAUAAAAUACGAUUGCAUCGUGUGUCGCAUAGGAAACGUGAAAACUUGUAGACUUGGACAUGCAAACGCAAAAGCCUAUUAAAAAUGAUAUGGUUACCUGUUGAAUAAGAGAAAAUUGAUUAUGUAAGAUUUAAGAAGUUAUAUUUGACCUUGUUAAAACCGAUCUAUAAACGGUGGUCAAUUCAUACAUUUUUUAAAUUAGAC